rnacentral:rRNA from 1 species
CACGUAGGGUGCGAGCGUUGUCCGGAAUUAUUGGGCGUAAAGAGCUCGUAGGCGGUGUGUCGCGUCGGCCGUGAAAACCUGCAGCUUAACUGUGGGCUUGCGGUCGAUACGGGCAUCACUGGAGUUCGGCAGGGGAGACUGGAAUUCCUUGUGUAGCGGUGAAAUGCGCAGAUAUCAGGAGGAACACCGGUGGCGAAGGCGGGUCUCUGGGCCGAUACUGACGCUGAGGAGCGAAAGCGUGGGGAGCGAUCCGG